GAUGAACGCUGGCGGCGUGCCUAAUACAUGCAAGUCGAGCGAACAGACGAGGAGCUUGCUCCUCUGACGUUAGCGGCGGACGGGUGAGUAACACGUGGAUAACCUACCUAUAAGACUGGGAUAACUUCGGGAAACCGGAGCUAAUACCGGAUAAUAUAUUGAACCGCAUGGUUCAAUAGUGAAAGACGGUUUUGCUGUCACUUAUAGAUGGAUCCGCGCCGCAUUAGCUAGUUGGUAAGGUAACGGCUUACCAAGGCAACGAUGCGUAGCCGACCUGAGAGGGUGAUCAGCCACACUGGAACUGAGACACGGGCCAGACUCCUACGGGAGGCAGCAGUAGGGAAUCUUCCGCAAUGGGCGAAAGCCUGACGGAGCAACGCCGCGUGAGUGAUGAAGGUCUUCGGAUCGUAAAACUCUGUUAUUAGGGAAGAACAAAUGUGUAAGUAACUAUGCACGUCUUGACGGUACCUAAUCAGAAAGCCACGGCUAACUACGUG
rnacentral:rRNA from 1 species